UACGGGAGGCAGCAGUGGGGAAUAUUGCACAAUGGGCGCAAGCCUGAUGCAGCCAUGCCGCGUGUAUGAAAAAGGCCUUCGGGUUGUAAAGUACUUUCAGUCGUGAGGAAGGUGUUAAGGUUAAUAACCUUAGCAAUUGACGUUAGCGACAGAAGAAGCACCGGCUAACUCCGUGCCAGCAGCCGCGGUAAUACGGAGGGUGCGAGCGUUAAUCGGAAUUAUUGGGCGUAAAGGGCACGCAGGCGGUUAAUUAAGUUGGAUGUGAAAUCCCCGGGCUUAACCUGGGAAUGGCAUUCAAGACUGGUUAGCUAGAGUCUUGUAGAGGGGGUAGAAUUCCAUGUGUAGCGGUGAAAUGCGUAGAGAUGUGGAGGAAUACCGGUGGCGAAGGCGGCCCCUGGACAAAGACUGACGCUCAUGUGCGAAAGCGUGGGGAGCAAACAGGGAUUUAGAUACCCG
rnacentral:rRNA from 1 species